rnacentral:rRNA from 1 species
UGGGAUUUUUCAAGCCUAAAGGCGCAAUGAAAGUGAAGGUCGGCCCUAGCGUCGACCGAGGGAGGAUGGUUCGCGUCACGAUGCGAGCCCGCACUCCCGGGGCGUCUCGCGCUCAUUGCGAGCGGAGGCGCACCCAGAGCGUACACGUUGGGACCCGAAAGAUGGUGAACUAUGCCUGGUCAGGACGAAGUCAGGGGAAACCCUGAUGGAGGUCCGUAGCGAUUCUGACGUGCAAAUCGAUCGUCGGAACUGGGUAUAGGGGCGAAAGACUAAUCGAACCAUCUAGUAGCUGGUUCCCUCCGAAGUUUCCCUCAGGAUAGCUGGCACUCGCUUGAGCGAGUCUCAUCUGGUAAAGCGAAUGAUUAGAGGCCUUGGGGCCGAAACGACCUCAACCUAUUCUCAAACUUUAAAUGGGUGAGAUCUCUGGCUUGCUUGAACGUUGAAGCCAUGAGAGAUGGAUCANAGUGCCAAGUGGGCCAAUUUUGGUAAGCANAACUGGCGCUGUGGGAUGAACCAAACGCCGAGUUAAGGCGCCUAAGUCGACGCUUAUGGGAUACCAUGAAAGGCGUUGGUUGCUUAAGACAGCAGGACGGUGGCCAUGGAAGUCNGAA